AUUGAACGCUGGCGGCAGGCCUAACACAUGCAGGUCGAGCGAGCGGCGGACGGGUGAGUAAUGUAUGGGGACUGCCCGUUAGAGGGGGAUAACUCCUGGAAACGGUAGCUAAUACCGCAUACUAUCGGAUAACCCAUAUGGGAUUAGCUAGUCGGUGAGGUAAUGGCUCACCUAGGCGACGAUCCCUAGCUGGUCUGAGAGGAUGAUCAGCCACACUGGGACUGAGACACGGCCCAGACGCCUACGGAGGCAGCAGUGGGGAAUAGUGCACAAUGGGCGAAAGCCUGAUGCAGCCAUGCCGCGUGUAUGAAGAAGGCCUUAGGGUUGUAAAGUACUUUCAGUCGGGAGGCGUUACCUACAGAAGAAGCACCGGCUAACUCCGUGCCAGCAGCCGCGGUAAUUC
rnacentral:rRNA from 1 species